rnacentral:lncRNA from 1 species
UUUCUUUUUAGAUUUUAUAGAAAGUCCUUAUUUAUAUAUUUUAAAAGUUUUAUCUAAAAAAUAAAAAAAUUUUAAAAAUGAGAAUUUAAAAUAUAAAAUAAUUAGAGUCGAAUUUGAAAUUUUGAACACCAAUCAUCACACUCUUUAGUCAACUGCUUCUAAUACAGCGAAUAAAUAAAAUAAAAAAUUAUUACGGUAUAAAAUUUGAAACAAAUGCGGUAAAUAUUAUUUAAAAUUAAUAGAUUAUUUAACUAGAAGCAGUUAAUUAAAAUUAAAAUAACUCAUAAAAAAGUAGAAACUUAAUUAGAAAAAAAAAAGAUGAAAAUUG